rnacentral:rRNA from 1 species
UACGUAGGUGGCGAGCGUUGUCCGGAAUUACUGGGUGUAAAGCGCGCGUAGGCGGUAGGCCAAGUCUGCUGUGAAAUCGCCCGGCUCAACUGGGCGCGGUCGGUGGAAACUGGUCAACUGGAGGACGGUAGAGGCGAGUGGAAUUCCCGGUGUAGUGGUGAAAUGCGUAGAGAUCGGGAGGAACACCAGUGGCGAAGGCGGCUCGCUGGGCCGGAACUGACGCUGAGGCGCGAAAGCGUGGGGAGCAAACAGG